CACGUAGGGGCGAGCGUUGUCCGGAAUUACUGGGCGUAAAGGGCGCGCAGGCUGUUAUGCGAGUCUGCUGUGAAAUGUACCGGCUACAACCGGUGCCUUGCGGCGGAUACUGCAUAGCUGGAGUACUGGAGAGGGAAGUGGAAUUCCCGGUGUAGCGGUGAAAUGCGUAGAUAUCGGGAGGAAUACCGGUGGCGAAGGCGGCUUUCUGGCCAGUUACUGACGCUCAUGCGCGAAAGCUGGGGUAGCGAACCGGAUUAGAUACCCCCGUA
rnacentral:rRNA from 1 species